CUAAAUCCCCUCGUUUACACCGAGACGCUAUCUGUUUGACCCAGAUCAUUUUGAGCCUAAAAUCUAGCCCACACAAAUCUUAUGUAAACCCAAACCCACUGUUUUGUAAUAAAACAUUUUUAUAUUUUAGUACAGGAGAUCGAAAAAUUCCUAAGAGCUUCAGAUAAAGUACCGCAAGGGAAUGAUGAAAUAAAAAUGAAAUAAUUUUAAAGCCCUAAACAGCAAAGAUUAAUCCUUGUACCUUUUGCAUCAUGGUCUAGCUAGUCUUACCAAGCAAAAAGAAAUUUAAGUUUGCCACCCCGAAACUAAGUGAGCUACUUUUAAACAGCCCUAAGGGCCAACCCGUCUCUGUUGCAAAAGAGUGGGAAGAUUUUUAAGUAGAGGCGACAAACCUACCGAACUUAUAGAUAGCUGGUUGUUCAGGAAAAGAGUCUUAGCUCUACCUUAAGUUUUUUAGUUGCAUCCACAAUCUUUCUAGACUUAAGAGCUAUUCAAAUAAGGCACAGCUUAUUUGAAACAGGAUACAACCUCCAACACUGGGUAAAUGAUAGUGAUCCAAGUAAAGUAGGCCUAAGAGCAGCCACCUUUCAAAAAGCGUCAUAGCUUAACCUCUCUCACACCCCAAUUCAUAAAAACACCCUCAACCCUUCACCAGUACUGAACUAUUUUAUAUUUUUAUAAAAAUAAUUAUGCUAGAACUAGUAACAAGAAAUUGCCCUUCUCCUAAUGCAAGUAUAAAUCUUAAUGACACCCCAAAUGAUAAUUAACGUAAAUACACCAAAUAUAGUAACAUAUAUCUAGAAAACCCUAUAAUCUCAAACGUUAACCUUACACCAGAGCAUUUCAGGAAAGAUUAAAAGAGAAAGAAGGAACUCGGCAACUUCAGCCCCGCCUGUUUACCAAAAACAUCGCCUCUUGA
rnacentral:rRNA from 1 species